AUGUCACCUCAAAGCUUUCUCUUGUCCAGGUUGAACAAUCUCAGUUCUCUCAGGCUUUCCUCAUAGGAGAAGUGCUCCAUUCCUCUAAUCAAUUUGGUGUCCUCCUCUGGACUCA